UCUUUUCUCUCUAUCUUCCCUCUCAAAACCCUAGCGCAGCCAUGUCUAAAGUGGAGAUUGCUUGAAGUGGAUUUUACGGCGGCGGAUAAACACGAAUCAAAUGAUUCUUCUUCACUCCGAUUUUUUUAUAUGUUCUUUGACUCUAUCCUUUUUUUAGUAUGAAAACCCUAACUCGCAUCUUUGAACAAUCGAUGCCAUCCAUCUUCUUGAAACCUGAAUCAGUUACCCUAGGUUUAGAUCAUUCAUUUUGUUGAUUUUUCUUGAAAUCCUUCUUCCAGAUCAUCCAUUAUGGGCCAGAUCUGUUUCUUUUUGCUGCUAUUGAUAAUCCUAAACCUCAUUUUCCCCCAAAAUACAACUUCAUCAUUUGAUCAUCGGUAUAGUGUAGGAGAUAAUGCACUUUUAUUCAGCAAUAUUAUUGGUCCCUUGAACAAUCCCGGGUUAGUAAUAUGUGUUUUUCUCAUUUCUUUCACUUUAAUAUGUGAAAAUGCCAUGUGAGAAAUCAUUUAUUUACUGUUAGAAUUUUCUGUUUUUUGAAGAUGAUUUCGUUAUUUUGUAGUUUGAUAGAUUGAAUGAUAGGAUGAUAUAUAGUCGGAGUAUCGAUUUCUGUCAGAUUUGCUUUGUUAUGCACUUUGGAUGUUUAUGUAUGGACAACUGAUGAGGUGUUUUUGGUUGUGGAUUUUGGAAAUGAUCAAGGGAUAUUAAGUUGUUAGAUGAAGUCAAUGGCUGUUUUAAGACGGGCAACAAAAGAAGAAGGGUGAGAGAAGUGUAGCUCUGACUUCUUCAAAGAAAGUGGUGAUUGUGGGUUGUAACGGGUCAGAAGAGAGAUACAGGAGACAAAUCGAUAGAGAGGGACUGACAUUGGGGAACUUCAUAUCAGUGAAAUGAAUCAGACUAUGAUGGGGUAAGAUGAGUCAUUUUCUGAUUGAAAAGAAGAAGCGAGAUUUCGCUAUCCAGAUGCCGGCAACUUUCGCAUUUUCCAUCUUUUUUCAGGUAAACCAGUCCACCUCAAAUGACACAAUUGAUCGACCUAAAACCCUAAAAAUUCUUACAUCCAAUUGAAAUCUCAUGAUUACUUUGUUAACUGGUCUGUUUUUAUUCCAUUGCCAAUGUGGUAUCCAGUUUAUUGUAAAUGUAUAGCUUUGAUGUGUUAACAAAGUAAUCCCGAUGAUUGAAGUUAUCAUCAAUGCGUUUUUGACCAUUAAUUGAUAUAGGGAUGUUUGAAUGGGAGUUCUUAAAGUAAUUAUUACAACUAUAAGAAUCAAUUUGUCAUAUUACCAUUUAAAGUAAAAGAUAGAGAUGCAACUGUAGUUUUUCAAAAUCUGUUUCUGGUCCAAUAUUCUAUUAUUUGACCUUAAAGAAUCAAAAUCAGAAUCAUAUUUAUGAACCUUAAUUUUUGGCUGCACAUCCAGUUACCCCCUUAUUAUUUUGCAUACCCACUUUGUAUUGUAAGUAGUUAAAUGCCAGAAUUGUGUAAUAGGAUAUAUAACGACAGAUAAACAAUGUGUGACUUUCAGUGGUAAAGGUUCUGAUAUGGAGUCUCCUGAAGAUGAGUUGACUCAUUGGUGAUGAAGAGAAGCCUAAACAUAAUUAUUAUUUAUUUAUCAUUAAUAAGAGUAUAAAGCGUUAUUGUCAUGUUCCAGUGCCGUCAAUUUCCAAAUAUUCAGAUGUUGAAUUGCGGUCUGAUGAGCUGGAGAUACACUCAAAGGUCAAAGUCCCUUCAUUCGAAAAGCUCGGAUGGUGUAAGAUUACAGGAAAUUCAGAUAUCUGUUCUGCAACAUUGCAAAAUAAGAGGUACUUAAUUACCGAAUUUGGCUGUUCUCGCAAAACUGUAACCUUCAAAAACGUUUCUUGCAUACUUGAAAAAUAUUAUAUUAUAUUCUCUUCAUUCACAACUA